CGCAUUCACACAAUCAGAUCCCUCAUGCACAUUCCUAGCCCAUUCAACACAGAUCUUGCACCCCACUACUGACUGCAUGCACCCUUCAUCUUUAUAUAUCUGACACCCAGCCCACAAAACUCCAGACUCUCUUUAACCUCAAAAGAAAAUAACAUUGUAUUUCUAUUCUAGAUCCUUAUGCCAAGCAGACACUUUUGCCUCUGAUUGUGAUGUCUGCAACUUUGAAUUUGACGUUUGCACAAUUUCAAAGUAUAUUGACUGGAAAUUUUCCAGGUCUUGCGCAGAGAGAGCGUAUGGAGUUUUACACUUAUAUGGGCUAUAUAAUGAUGGGUCUAGAAUGUGAAGUUCCCAGGUGUUUAUAAUACAGCA